ACACAAAUCAGACACUCAAACAGAGGACGACCAGUGAUAAGUAGCCCUAGUAAAAAACUGGUAAUUCCAUCGACACUUAAAAACCACAUGGCCAAGAUGUCCAAGAAACAUUUCAGCAUAAAAAGCAAUAUAGUGUUGGAGUUUGCUUAUUAUAAUUAAAAAGUGUACUUUUCAAGUACACAUGCAAAGUUUUAGUUUUAAAGGAAUUCUUCAUCCAAUUUAAAUAUGAAUAUAUUAUUAAAUUGGGUCACCUAUGUAGUAGAAGUGUGAAGUUAUUUUAGAAAUUGGUGCCUUCUAGGCCGAGAAAAGCCAGAAAAUUUGUUUUUUGGCUCAUGUGGAUGAAAAACACCAAAUCCCAGAAUGCAUUGCUUCGCUGCUCUACGAGGCCACCCCCUAGUCGCGCCUACUGGAUCGAGAGGGCAGGAGGGAGGGAGAUUCAACUAGGUAAACCGGGAGACGCGCGAACUGGAUUAACCGCUAUUCUCCUCAGACGAAUGUUUCUGUGGUAUUAUGAGAUUUUGUUACCAUCAACUUGCAUUAUACAACUGACAGACUGAAACGGUUGGACUCAAAAAUCUACAUUUGUGUUCCACUGGAGAAACAAAGUCACCUACAUCUUGGAUGGCCUGGGGACUACCUGACCUGUUCCUGUGAAGAGCUAGUCACUCUUUGUGGAAUGUUCCUGGCCCAUUUUUUCCAAGUUUUUACAAUGACCUCAAAAUUGAUGUGUAAAAAUAAUAAUGAACUUGAAUUUGUUUA